rnacentral:rRNA from 1 species
UAAAGCUAAAGAUCCUCUAGGCCGUCAUACGCUCCCCGAGGAAAUGAAAUCCAAACACGAAAGUAGCUUUAAACAACCCCUGACACCACGAAAGCCAAGAAACAAACUGGGAUUAGAUACCCCACUAUGCUUGGCCAUAAACCAAGAUGCGCUCUUACACACGCAUCCGCCCGGGUACUACGAGCACAGCUUAAAACCCAAAGGACUUGGCGGUGUCUCAGAUCCACCUAGAGGAGCCUGUUCUAGAACCGAUAACCCCCGUUAAACCUCACCACUCCUUGUCUUCUCCGCCUAUAUACCGCCGUCGUCAGCUUACCCUGUGAAGGUCUAACAGUAAGCAAAAUGGGCACACCCAAAAACGUCAGGUCGAGGUGUAGCGUACGAAGUGGGAAGAAAUGGGCUACAUUUUCUAUACAGAGAAUAUUACGAAUGGUAUUAUGAAAUAAAUACCUGAAGGUGGAUUUAGUAGUAAAAAGCAAAUAGAGUGUCCUUUUGAACUAGGCUCUGAGACGCGCACACACCGCCCGUCACUC